GACGAACGCUGGCGGCGUGCUUAACACAUGCAAGUCGAACGGAAAGGCCCUGCUUUUGUGGGGUGCUCGAGUGGCGAACGGGUGAGUAACACGUGAGUAACCUGCCCUUGACUUUGGGAUAACUUCAGGAAACUGGGGCUAAUACCGGAUAGGAGCUCCUGCUGCAGGGUGGGGGUUGGAAAGUUUCGGCGGUUGGGGCUGGACUCGCGGCUUAUCAGCUUGUUGGUGGGGUAGUGGCUUACCAAGGCUUUGACGGGUAGCCGGCCUGAGAGGGUGACCGGCCACAUUGGGACUGAGAUACGGCCCAGACUCCUACGGGAGGCAGCAGUGGGGAAUAUUGCACAAUGGGCGGAAGCCUGAUGCAGCAACGCCGCGUGCGGGAUGACGGCCUUCGGGUUGUAAACCGCUUUCGCCUGUGACGAAGCGUGAGUGGCGGUAAUGGGUAAAGAAGCACCGGCUAACUACGUG
rnacentral:rRNA from 1 species